rnacentral:rRNA from 1 species
AGUGAACGCUGGCGGUAGGCCUAACACAUGCAAGUCGAACGGCAGCACAGUAAGAGCUUGCUCUUACGGGUGGCGAGUGGCGGACGGGUGAGGAAUACAUCGGAAUCUCCUUUUUCGUGGGGGGUAACGUAGGGAAACUUACGCUAAUACCGCAUACGACCUACCGGUGAAAGCAGGGGAUCUUCGGACCUUGCGCGAAUGAAUGAGCCGAUGUCGGAUUAGCUAGUUGGGGGGGUAAAGGCGCACCAAGGCGACGAUCCGUAGCUGGUCUGAGAGGAUGAUCAGCCACACUGGAACUGAGACACGGUCCAGACUCCUACGGGAGGCAGCAGUGGGGAAUAUUGGACGAUGGGCGCAAGCCUGAUCCAGCCAUACCGCGUGGGUGAAGAAGGCCUUCGGGUGGUAAAGCCCUUUUGUUGGGAAAGAAAAGCAGCAGGUUAAUACCCCGCUGUUCUGACGGUACCCAAAGAAUAAGCACCGGCUAACUUCGUG